ACACGCAGCUGUUCGUUGCUCUAAAUGCGUUCUUGUCUUGGUGUUCUGAUGUUUCAAUUCAAAGUCCGCUUCUCGCAUAAGCACGGUCCAAAUAUCCGGAUGUGACUUGACCCCCACCCCCUCAUUCUACCGGGGAAGCAUCGGAGGUGACUUGUGUGUACUUUGGACAGACAAUAUCCCAGAAUUGUGAGGUCCUGUUGGCGGACCUGUGAGCCUCGCAGCACCGGGCGGUCAGUGCUCAGUGUGGCCGCCGAGAACAGUCUGAUGUCGGCAGGACUUUUUUAAAUGAUCCGCUGGCUCUGAUGUCUCCGCAGCGGUUAAACACGGUUAAACAAUUCGGUUUUGGAGGAUCUAACACGCAAUGUUUGGUCUCAGAGUUUAUUUGUUCACAGGCAGCAGUACACUGGAACUCCAUUCCAGGAUCAAUCAGAGAUCUACAAUCAUUCAAUUCUUUUAAAGAGCCAGGACAAAGCCACACCUACAGUUACUGGUCACAUCAAUGGAAGCUUGACAGUUCUUCCAGGAACCAUCUUGCCUGGCACCAACAUGGAGGUCCAUUGGAAAAUUAGCUAUGUACGUACAUAUGGAUGAACAAGAUUCUACAGCCACACCAGCAGUUGUGCUAGCAUGCUCACAGUCACAAUGGUAACAUGCUGAUGUGUAGUUGGUCAUAUUUUACAGGUUUGCCUUCUUAUUGAGCAUGUUGGCAUACGAACAGCACUAAACACAAAGUACAGCUAAAGCUAAUGGGAAUGGCAUUUGUUUUGCAGGUAUUUAGACUUAAACUAAAGUAUUAGGCAAAAAUACAUUUUGACCUGAUAAUGGCACGAAGACAAAAGGUCAGGCAAUCACAAGUCAUUAGAAUUUCACAGCAAUCUGUCCAAUAGUUGUCCCGAUAUUUCCCUCUGAACCUUAAAUGUCAAGCUUCAUAACUAUAGGGAGCUAGUCCUUGCUAUCCCUUAAAACAAUGAUAUGUUUCCAUAUUUACCACAACGGUGACGCUGGUAUUGCUUGUGAGCCUGUGUGUGUGGGUCAUCAUGGCAAAAUGGGGUCCUGGAGACACCUAGCGUAGCAAUAACUAACACAGUGGGGGUUUUGAGUACUUUGCCCGGUGUUUAUAUAUCUGGCUGUAGACAGAUUGUGUCACUACGACAGCGUUGCAACUGUGCAGGAUGCAGUCACAACACCUUACAGGCGUGUAGUUGAGAUCAAAAUGAAGGCAGAGUUCGGAGGUCGGUGUGGUCCAAGCAAGGGGCGCCAGACAGAAGGCUAGCCGAUGCUAACAAUACCAUUAAAAGCAACACAUAUUUAUGAAUAAGCCAGCAUCUUCUUCUACUAAAUUAAAGAGCUCAAGUCAGAUUACAACAUUAUAACCUCUUCAAAGCUAAAUGGUCCCGUAUGCAUACAAAAUCACAUAUGGGUUGUAUUUCAACUAGCAGAUGCUGUUGACAUAAGACCAUUAAAGUCUUGCAUGAACACAUUGUGUCAGAACGGAGUACAAAGCCAUCCUGCAGUCAGAUUAAUGUUAUGAACCGUCUAGUAUCGAGUAUUGAAGAUCCAUGUGACCCACAGGCGUGCCAUGUUUUUGGUACUAAGCUGAACAUUUCAUUGUCUGUAUAGUUUAAUUUCUUUUGAUUCGGUUUCUACAGGAAA